UAAACCUUCCAUCGAUCCCGAUAACACAAUCUCACCCCCCUUUCAAUAUCAAACUAUCCACUGCACACAGUGGAGAAAUAAUGCUAAUAUGAGUAAUAAGAGAAAAAAGAUUCUCUCCCUGCACAAGUGUAAUUCGGAGCGGACUAACCACCGAACCUUAACGUCCCCAAACAAAGAGGGAAAUAGAUUACAAGUUAAUUAACUAGAAAAACAUCCAAAACAAACCCGUUAACCCCACACUGGUGUGCUGCAUGGGAAAGACUAAAAGGAGAGGAAGGAACUCGGCAAACACUUAAAGCCUCGCCUGUUUACCAAAAACAUCGCCUCUUGCAAGACCAAUGAAUAAGAGGUCCCGCCUGCCCUGUGACUAUAUGUUUAACGGCCGCGGUAUUUUGACCGUGCGAAGGUAGCGCAAUCACUUGUCUUUUAAAUGGAGACCCGUAUGAAUGGCUCCACGAGGGCUUAGCUGUCUCCCCCUCCCAGUCAAUGAAAUUGAUCUCCCCGUGCAGAAGCGGGGAUAAUAACAUAAGACGAGAAGACCCUAUGGAGCUUAAGGCGCCAGGGCAGCUCACGUUAAACACCCCUAGUUAAAGGAAUGAACCAAGUGAACCCUGCCCCAGUGUUUUUGGUUGGGGCGACCGCGGGGAAAUACAAAACCCCCUUGUGGACCAGGAACACUACAUGUUCCCAAACCCGAGAGCUACCGCUCUAAUAAACAGAACUUCUGACCAGCUAAGAUCCGGCAGUGCCGAUCAACGGAACGAGUUACCCUAGGGAUAACAGCGCAAUCCUCUUAAAGAGUCCUUAUCGACAAGGGGGUUUACGACCUCGAUGUUGGAUCAGGACAUCCUAAUGGUGCAGCCGCUAUUAAGGGUUCGUUUGUUCAACGAUUAAAGUCCUACGUGAUCUGAGUUCAGACCGGA
rnacentral:rRNA from 1 species